AACUUUUGGCUAUGGAUCACUUGGUUCCGGCAUCGAUGAAGAACGCAGCGAAAUGCGAUACGUAAUGUGAAUUGCAAAUUCAGUGAAUCAUCGAGUCUUUGAACGCACAUUGCGCCCCCUGGUAUUCCGGGGGGCAUGCCUGUCCGAGCGUCAUUGCUGCCCUCAAGCACGGCUUGUGUGUUGGGCCCCGUCCUCCGAUUCCGGGGGACGGGCCCGAAAGGCAGCGGCGGCACCGCGUCCGGUCCUCGAGCGUAUGGGGCUUUGUCACCCGCUCCGUAGGCCCGGCCGGCGCUUGCCGAUCAACCCAAAUUUUUAUCCAGGUUGACCUCGCAUCAGGUAGGGAUACCAGCUGCCCUUAAGAAUAUCAAUAAGCGGAGGCU
rnacentral:misc_RNA from 1 species